ensembl:lncRNA novel transcript
CGCUGAGACACAUUUUUGUCCCAAACUCAAUUCCAAGCAUCGGGUCAAAGCCCUAGGAAAGAAAACUGGAUCUGAGGGAUCCAGAGGCAGACAAUAACAGAAAUUAAAAGGCACAACACAGAUAAUGGAGCUAUUUUUUUCUUUCGUUGUCCAAGUGGAAGAUGUUAAAAAAGAAACCCUCAAUGAUCAGAUUUAUUUGGAGAAGACAAAAAACCCACAACCCAAAGGAUGGGAUUUUACAUCUCAAGACAUCUCCUAGUACAGCAAAACUGCAUUUCCCAAGCUCCUCUUCUCUCAAUGGGUCACAUGACUUGUUCUAGCCAAUAGAACGAGGGUGGAAGUAAUGUGACCACUUUCAGGUGUCCCCUAAAGUCUCCUGUGAGAUCUUCCAAUCUUGCUCUCCUCACUCUGCAUGGCUGGAAAUGAA